UUAACCCGAGUUUCGCCAGAGUCUGUGA
rnacentral:sRNA from 1 species